UUGUCCUUUGUCCUUCCCUUCACAGCCAUGCUUCAAAGGCUUGCCUGUCUCCAGUUCCUCACCUUCCCCCAUCAGGGUCCCUUCCCUGAAACGGCAUUGGCUAAGGUCACCAAUGACUUCCAUGUUGUUAACUCCAGUGGGCAUCUUUUACUCUCUUAUUCAACAGUUUUUUAAAAAAUUCUUUUAAAUCUGGUUCACUUAACUUUGUAUUUCCUUCAUAUAGAUCUCUGGCCACUUCUCCUUUGUGGCGUAUCUUCCUGUACUAGGCUUUAAGUAUAAGAAUUCCAUAAAGUUCAGUCCUGGGCCCCCUUUCUCCUCACUCUACACUCCUCCUCAGUGAUCUAACACCCCAGGAUUUCAAUGGCACCCCUAAAACUAUAUCUCCCAGAACCAUCUCUCCAGUCCCAACCUCUCUUCUGAGCUCUAGGCUUAUCAACUCAACAGCCCAUGUGAUACCUCCAUUUGGAUUUCUCAAGGCAUCUCAUAGUCAACAAGUAAAAUAAAAUCAAUGACCUGAUUGCCCUCAAGCCUGUUUAUCUUCCCAUUGGUCUCACUUCGGUGAAUCCAUCUAUUCACACAAGCCGGAAACCUCUUCAUCCUUACUCUGUCCAAUUCAUCAAGUUCUGCCAAAUUUGCUUCCUAAAAUCCCUCUCAUAUAGAUGUACUCUUCUCCAGCUGCGCCACCUUCCUACUUCAAGUUCUGUCAUCUCUUCCCUUCUUCCACCCCCAACCCCAAUGCUAAUUUUUCCAUACUCUAGCCAGAGAUCUUAUUAAAAUGCAGAUCUUGUCAUCCCCUGCUGCCUAAAGCUCCUCCAUGGCUUUCCCAUCGCUCUAGUUUAAGUAUCUAAAUCCUAAUGUGACCUACGAAGGUUCUGCCACGGCUUCCAACUUGCUCUCACACCUCUCCACACUCUAGCCACCUGGCCUGCCCUAGGCUCCUGGAACAACACACUAAGCUCCCUCCUGCCUCAGGGUUUUAUGAAUGCAAUUUCUGUGUGUGGAAUGUGCCUUCCCAAGUACCAAGCUGACAGCUCCUCAUCCUUCAGUUCUCACUUCAAGAGCUGAUUUCUUAGAAAGGCCUUUCUGGAUUCCCCAGACAAGAUAGUUCCACGCAGAGGAUCUCACAGUACCCUACACAUUUCCUUCAGGGUGCUUACCAUGCUUUGACAUUAUUUGUGGGAUUAUUAAGGAUAAUCUCGUCCCAUUAGACUCCAAUGACUACAGGGAGCAGUUAGUUUUACUCACUGUUGUAUCCCUAGAAACUAGAACAGUCCUUGGCACAUAGUAAAUGGAAUGUAUAAAUGAACUAUUAGCAAAGAAAACAAAAAGAGCUGUAAAAACUCUUGGCCAAACCAAGGCAGAGAUUCUUAAAUAUUGGUGGGAGAAGACCCUCGGGAUCACCUGUUGGCAGGCGUGCUGACCACUCUCAAAUGCCCUUUUCUUCUUUUAAAAUGAAAAACUGUUGUUCAGAGAUAAUGGGGCAGAAAGGAUGCAACUACGGAGAAAACUCCAUGGAAUCACUGAAGAUUAUGUUGGAUAACAUGUCAGUCACAAUGUCUACUUUUCAUUAGUGUUUCAAUAAAAUACACACUUCUGGCUGAGUGACCUUGAGGAAGUUACGUAGCUAUCUUCCCAAGCUAUACAAUUGGAAUGAAUGGGAGCUGUGCAAGACAAGCUGGCAAAUGUUUAGAACUCCUGUGAGAUCUGUAAACUGCAGGUAUUGGAGCUACAUCCCCAAACUAGAGUUACACAUAUUUUAUCUUCGUAACAUUUCUCCCCUGGAGUUGAUCCCCUUCAACUCCUUAAUCAUUUCAGUUGCUUGCACUGAAUUCCCUCAAGUCUAAAAUUCUUUUUUUCCUAGAGCUGCAGAAAUCAAGACCAAACAGUAUUCCAGAUGCCACUUUCUACUCCAGCAACUAUAGGAUUUACAGAGGGGGAGGGAUCAUCUUGCUAAUGGCUCAGCAGCAUAAAGAUCCCAUCAGUCAACAACAUUCAAGUUCCUGUUCUCAUCCGGAGGUCAAAGCUUCUGGUUCUCCCAACUCAUUAUCCCAAAUACUGAUCAUCCUACAUUUGCUUUCCUGCUCACUGUCUCCAUGAGGUGUCCAUCUAUUGGGUCAAAGGCCCCAACAUGGCGCGGUCACCUCUGAAAUUAAAAGAAGGAAAACGCAUUCACCUUGUGCAUACACGUACAUAAAGAGCAGCCCAACGAUACUCACCUGAAUGUUAGAUUAGUCAGCAAGCCAUUAGAAAUGAAUCUAAAUGAUGUAGGGCAGAGUUCAGUGACAAGUCAAGAGAUAAAGGAAACAUACAGGGCUCAGGCUGAUUAAAAAGAUAAUUAGUUGUGGAAAAUAAGGUUGGGCUCCAGCCCAGAAUUUGUCUUUGACAAAGAUAAACCAAAGGCUUUGAUACAGUCAUUUUGGGGGGAUUUAGUUGUUCUUUUAUAGGAGUUGAAGAGCAAGAACAAAGCAACAGUCAGUUUCAAAGUGCAGCUCAACUCCCCCUCUGUUUGUUGUUCUGCUCAUAAACAUACAAGCUGUUUCCUUUCAUCUGCACAGGCUCAUACAAUAUGGAGAUCCCACAAUAGAUUUACACCAGAUUUAAAGAUGAAUGUGCAGAGCUGUGGUCAAGCCAGGGAUCUUCCGGCCUAAGAAAGAUCUCAAUGUGCCUGGCUGGAAUUAAAAAAAAUACAAGAGAAAGCUCUUCAAGACCUAAAAGGCUUUAACAGUGAAAAAGAAAAGAGGAGCAUCUCUUACCCAAAUUGUUAAAACCCACAAAGGUGUUUGAGAUGCCUAGUAACAAUGCAAAGAGCUUUAAUCUUUACAUAGGGAAUGGGGAAAAUUUUCCAUAGGUGGUCGGAUAUAUGGGGUAAGCUGACAACACAGGGGAAGGGGAGAUGGGGAUGAUGCCAGAUAUUCUAUGUGGAACUGAAACUGCAACUCCAAUGGUUCUGCGAAACUACUUGCCCGAAAUACUGUUUUGAUAAAUAAGCCAUAUCCUCGUGGAAUUGAAAUCUCCAACUGCUUCACUGGCACGGACAUCUCUGCAGUGACAGCUCAUGCCCCAGAUUGUGGAGUUAACUUGAAUUAAAUUUCAGAUGUGGGGGAGCUAAGGGAGGGGGGUGGUGGCAGUGGGAGGUUUAUGAACAGUAUGCUGGGGCUCUGAUGUUGUCAUAACCAGAUGGCUUCAACUGUAUCAUUUAAAACAAAAACAAACAUGUCCAGAAAGAAUGAAAUAAUGACAGAAGCAUCCAGUAGCUUUACCUGUACCUGAAAUCCCAACAGCUUUGUACCCACAGUAAAGCCCAAGUUGGAAAUUCCAUAAAUAUUGAAGAUCCCAGAAGAGACCUUCAUCCUGACAGAAGCUAGGUGCCAGGACUGCUGUCCUCCUGAGGGCAUAGUCCCUGAACUCACCAGCAUCCCAACCCACAGCUGUCUGUGAAUGAAGAGGAAAGCAAAUCUGAAGCCUGGUUUGUCCUUCUGGAACCUCUGAAGAACAGGCCAGCAGAGGCACCUUUCCAGAGCUUUGUUCUUGCUAUUCCCACAGGAAGGAAGCUUUACUUUCAGUUUUGUAC
rnacentral:lncRNA from 10 species